GGCGCCCUGCGGCUCCCAGUCCGGCUCGCACUUUCGGAAUAAUAAUUAAAAAAAAAAGAACAGAGCCCUGCGCGGGGUCCCUGGGUUUGGGGUGGGGGAGGGCGCGCGGAGAGAAUUAAGUGUCUAAACCCACGCCGAGCCCCGGCCCCGGCGAUCCGGGGGUCCGACCUUGUUGCGAUUCUCCUAAACCCUCCGCCAGCCGCGCUCGGCCCCCUCCCUCCCGCUCUGUCCGCUCGCCCCCGGGUGCCUCUCCCUUCCUCGUCCCCGCCGCUGGCCGGGGAGGGCGACGAGUCCUUUUUUAUGCGGGCGGCGGGGGCCGAGGGGCGGCCGCCCCGUCCCCCCGGCGCGGUGCGGCCGGCCGCGCGCGGCGCGGAGCUGGGCGGGCGGGCGGGUGGGCUCCCCGCGGCCGGCCGCGCUCGCCGCCGCCUUCCCCUGCACGCACGCACUUCGCGGAACAAGGACCAGGGCACUGCCGAUGCUGUGCAUACCGCACCCUGACCAGUGUGCAAGGGGCUGCAUCUCCACGUGUCCUCUCCCCAGCACGUGAUGUGCCCGUGCCAUCAUGAGAGUCCAGGCAAUCGUACAUCCAGGUGUCAAAAGAGAAGAGGACCAAUGAGAAGGUUUAUUUGCAAGCCCCUACCUGGUUUAGAGCAGCUGCUGGCAAGGUGCGAAGCCCUGGUCUGAGCAUCCCAAACCCCUCCCAUGAAAAUGGUUGAAGUUCACUCUCACAGCUGUUGUCAAAGCAGGAGCACCCUUGAAAACAUUGCUUUCCAUGCUGGCAUCUGUUGAAAAAUACCCGGUUUAUAGCUGGAGAUACAGAAAGCGGGACUGCAGAUGCCUUUCUUUUGUAUUCUGGGGAAUUUUAAUAGAAGUGCAAAGCUGAGAGCGCCAAAGUGCAGAGCUGUUCUCUCCGGGAGAGAACCAAGAGCCCUCCUGCAGCUCCAGAUUAUGUCUGUGCCUCAUCAGGUUGCUGGGACAAUUUGGAUGCCGAAUUCUCUGCUUGGAACCCCUUUUGGGGAUGUCACUGUCCUAUAUCAUACGUGACACAGCUCCUAUACUAUACACAAUGCAGCUGCUGGUGAGAGGAAAACAGCACUGAGAUGCAGUGGAGACCCCUGAGCUCAGCAUGGCUUGUCUGAAGAUGGGAUUUGCCGGUGGAGGCAACAGACAGCUUCACAGCAUCUGCCACCUCCUCCAUCAAAUUUCCUAUCCAAGGCCUUUGAGGCUGACACAGAGGCACCAAGUCCCAAUGGGGGGGGAACAUGGUGGGCCUUGCCCCUCUGCUUGAUGCCACGCUCCUCCUCAAAGACACCAGUGCUUGUAUGAAAAUGCUUUUUCAUGGAGGGGAAAAUUGAUACAUGUGCUCGCUUUUCAUGCCACCUAACUUGAGAUUAUGAUUUCGUUUUGCGCUGCUCUCUUCUCUCACCUGCAUGCACAGUGAAUGCAAUUUUUAAAGUUUGAUGAUAUUUUCAGGAAGAUACUACCCACAGCAAUACUAACAAUGAGCUCUUUUCUCUUUGGAAAGUGGUUACACCAUCCCACUAUCCCAGGAUAUUCUUCGAUCCACACCGGACAGACAGCAUCCAAAAUAUUAGCACUUUGGCUUGAGUUUUCCCCAAACGAUUAUGUUUAAAGCGGAGAGCUGGCACAGACAAUGUUAUCUCAGGUAGCUGCACCCUGGCAGCAUUAUAGGAAACCAAUGGUUAGGCCUUACUAUGGGAAAUGCAUGCAGCAUUAGAGCCUCUCUAUAAUGUAUAGAUUUAUCGGCAUGCAACACUGAGAGCAAACCCCUAUACAUUUCUAUAGAGAGACAUAGUUAUUUUGAAAGUGUUUCAGAAUCAGUUUGAAAUUACAAGUUACAUUAAAAUAGCACAGUCAUGUAAGGCAAAAAUAAAAACUUCAUGACAGCUAGGAUGUUCAACGAGGACUGAGGGAGUUAGGCACCCAAUGGACCAAGCCUGCUUUGAGAAAUCCAGCCUCAGUAAGGUUUUAAACUUUCUGAAGUCAAAAAGAGGAAUACCUUCAACACAUACAAGGACUGAUCUGGUGGAUACCAAAUGACCACGCAGGACAGGGAAGAUCACCGUAACUGUGGAGCAGCCAGUAACAGAAUCAACCUUAAAGAAUAUAUCAUACUCAUAGACCUAAUUAAGAGACGCCACAUAAUAUCUAAAAGAAACAUGGCAAAAUGCUAAUCCCCUGGGAAAAGCUGUACAGCACAUUUCAUCAGAGGGUUUACAGGCAGCUAAAAAGACCACACAAAAUGGGAAUAAACCCAUGCCACUGAGACCUGGUGCCCACAGCAACUCUACUCUCGCCAGCCCUCCAUGCGGCAGGAACCAGUCUGGCUGAGGUUUGACAGAGUUGGGUGAACACCUGAGCUCUCUGGAUCUGCAAAGGAAUACAGGCACAUACAGGAAACUAUUAAAGGACUGGAUUAUUUCUUAAAAAGAGAGAAUGUUUCCAAAGCACACAGCACAAAGCACUCAUUCAGCAGAGAGUCAAAUGUCACAGUGGAUACAGCUGCAAGACAGUGUCGCUCUUUAUCUACAGUAAAAUAUGUCAAAAAGGGAACACAAAGGCAUCGUCGGGAUAAACACAGGACUGGAGCACACAAAGGCAGGCGGCAUCCACAGUGCAUCAGACAACCUGAAUAAAAGCCCCGACUACAAUACCAGCUCAGUUUCUAUAGUGUUGAGUUAAUGCCUCGGACACUUUACAUAAAUAAAUAACUGGCAUCCCACAUUUCAGUCAUAAGAGAGGACUGACAUAGCCUGAAAUUCGGGCUACAGAGCAGCAGAAACCAGAGGCACUCUGGAGGGCGGAUGUGCACAGAAAAGAAAGGCUUCACAUGAAGAGCCGUUGGAGUGUCUGUGGGCAGGAUCCAGCCAGAGCACCUGAGUUUACACUUCGGGAAGUUACAGUGAAAAGGAAUUGAGAUGUUAUCCAAGAGCACUGAAAAACAAAGGGAAAGUUUCACUGUGAAACACUUUUACUAUGCGCAGGAUUAUAAACCUGUUCCAACUGCAUGGCAUGCAUGCCAUGUGCACUAGCAUUAGCAUUCAUACAUCUCUAAUAAGCAUGGUGAUUUUAAAUUCCUUUUCACUUGUAUACAGCGCUUGCUUCAAUCAAUCAUUUUCCUUGUGUUAAAAAAGACAUACAAUAGUCUGAAAUCAAGGCAGAGUAAAUGGUGUAGUUAGUGACACUUUUUGAAAAAUACUAUCAUACACUGGAGCUGAAUUUAGCUCAAAUAUCACAAAAUACCCAUCUGUAGAAGAAUCACACACACACCCCUGCACAGUUACAGGAAAACAAUCAUUACUGAUAACAGUGCUUAAGAUACAGACCAUGAAAUACCUUACAAAUACAAGCAGGUAUUUUUCCCUUUCCAUAGUUCACUGAGCAAAGUACUCAUUUUGGCCUCUGUUCCAACUAGAUGCUGCAGGAAACGGUGUGGGAGUCAGGCAGAGGAUCUGCACUUCAUGACAAAACUGCUUUUAGCAAGAAUUUUUCAGGCUCUGCAUCCGCCUUUUGAAUAUUCCCAUAAAGAUAAC